rnacentral:rRNA from 1 species
CUACGGGGUGCACCAGUGGGGAAUAUUGCACAAUGGAGGAAACUCUGAUGCAGCAACGCCGCGUGGAGGAUGAAACUUUUCGGAGCGUAAACUCCUUUUAUAGAGGAAGAAGAUGACGGUACUAUAUGAAUAAGCGCCGGCUAACUCCGUGCCAGCAGCCGCGGUAAUACGGAGGGCGCAAGCGUUACUCGGAAUCACUGGGCGUAAAGAGCGUGUAGGCGGAUUAAAAAGUAAGAAGUGAAAUCCUAUAGCUUAACUAUAGAACUGCUUCUGAAACUCUUAAUCUAGAAUAUGGGAGAGGUAGAUGGAAUUUCUGGUGUAGUGGUAAAAUCCGUAGAGAUCAGAAGGAAUACCGAUUGCGAAGGCGACCUACUAGAACAUUAUUGACGCUGAGACGCGAAAGCGUGGGGAGCAAACAGGAUUAGAUACCCCUGUAGUC